AUCCCGGUGCACAUAAACAAACUGCUCUGCAUGGCACCCUCUGCCUAACUCUAGGAGGGAAUGAAAAGUAGAUAGCAAUUGUACUUCUGUAUUGUACUAAUUGUACUUCCACUACUUCUUCUAGCACAAGUAAAAGAAUAAAUCAACAGAUGUGUCCUGCUACUUUGGCAGUUUCAUCACUGUAAUUUCCACAGCAAAUGGCACACUUACCAAAUGUUCCUUCCCCUGCAUCAGUCUUGUCUGUGCUUGACUGGCUGUACUGUAGUGGAGUCAAAAACAUGUCCUGGCUUAUUGCACAGCUGGAUCCCCCGGUCACCUAUCUCUCAUACUCCUCUUCCUCCUCCUCCUCCUCCUCCUCGUUGUUCAUGGCAGAAGCCUGUGACUCGGGCUCCUCAGAAGUAUCAAGGGUGCUUUUGGGGGUGCUGGUGGGGUCUUUGCCAAGGAUGGCUUGCAGCUCUUUAUAAAAGCAGCAGGUCUGCGGCUCAAUUGUUGGCCUCCCUGGCCUUCACGUAUGCCUGCCCGCAGCUCCUUGGCUUUCACAAGGCACUGUUGCUGGUCCGUCUUGUAGCCUUUCUCCUGCAUCCCCUGAGCAAUUUGCUCAUAGAUGUUGACAUUUGUACAGCUGGAUCAGUGGUCUGCCUGCACAGGGCAUUGUGUGACAGCUCCUGGAGGCCAAUAGCAGUUGAUGUAAUUAAUGCAGUGUCCUCACUAUAACUGUCUCAACCUAUCUUCAUUGACCACAACUCUACGCUGCUCAGGGAGGUGGUGUUAUUAAGUUGGCAUAGCAGGGCACUUGUGUUUAAGUGAAGACACAUCUAUAGGUGAGUUGACGUAAUCUUCCUUUCAUCGACCUAACCAUGUAGUAUAGACCAGGCCUCAGAGAACACAAAAAAAGAAGCCAUUCACUCGCCUCACUGGAGGAGGCCACAGCUUAUUCAUAUAUUACUCUUGAGAAAAAGCUUUCUAUUCAGUAUUUUUUUUGAAAUCCAAAGUUUUGUUUUAUGUGUAGCCUUUGUUUUAUGAAAAAUGAUUAACCAAAAUUUCUUUAGAAGUAUUUUUGUCAUCAACAUUUAGCCAUGAGACGUUCCAAUGAAAUCCAAAUUUUUUAAUCUCAUCCUCCAAUCUUGAAGAAAUAUAAGAGUUUGUCUCCAGAUACCUCCGUGUCUUCCCCAAACGCAUGUUAAUUCUAACAUUGCAAGCUUGGAGGCACUUUGCCUUUUAAUUAGUGUGCCUCAGUCUUCCUUAGCAAUAAUGUUGCAAUGACAUCAACCAGUAGGAAGUAGGAAGCUGGAUUUCAUGGUUACUUUUGGAAAGCAUGUCAAUUUUCAAAAACACAGUACAGUGGACCCUCAGAAUGGAGUGUUUGUAACUCUGAACAAAACGUUAUGGUUGUUCUUUCAAAAGUUUAUAACUGAAUGUUGAUUUAAUUCAUCUUUGAAACUUUACUAUGUGGAAGAAAAAUGCUGCUUCCUAUUUAUUUUUUUUAGUAGUUUACGUUUAACACAGUACAGUACUGUAUUUGCUUCUUCUUUCUUUUUUUUAUUUUGUCUCUGCUACUGCUUGAUUGGGUAUUUCCAGUUCCAACUGAGGUGUAUGGUUGACUGGUCAGUUUGUAACUCUGGUGUUCAUAACUCUGAGGUUCUAUUGUAGAUCUUUUUUACAUUCAAUGUAACUUCCAUCUUCAGUCAACCACAUACAUCACUAUGACUGGCUAGAUAUGGAAACCAGUGUAAAUUUAUUUGCACAGAACUUACAGUUUUGGGAAGUCACAAAUGUAUCUUUCUACUGUACAAACAGGACAAAAAAAUACAAGCAAUAAUAAGCAGAUCUAGCAUUUGUCUUUCACCUUUGUGAACCAGGUGAAUAAUCCAUGAACUGAAAAUUCCUUGAGUAGAGAAUCAAUUUGAUAGUCUGUUAUUUUAGGAGUGGAAGGCUGGGUAAGAGCUUUGGCUUGUACUCUCACUUACUCAAAUGCUUUGAUAGAAGCUAAAUUAAAAGUUGGAGGCUUAUAUUUCUUCAGGGUUUCCUACCUAUUCUUUAGGAUUCUGUACUGAUGAGACUGUUUCUUUCAGAGAUAAUAUUAAGGCUGAAACUUCCAACAGCAGGAUCUUCUGAAACCAUCUUACUGAUUGUUCAGAGGUCUGAGGGUAAUCAUCUGCAUUUCUUAUCUCUUAUUUUAUCUCCUUUGGAUUCCUGGGAUAAUUCAUUCCUUCUUUUUGCUUUUCAGACACAAAGAAUCAGGAGUUUGUCUGCUAUAACCGCUUUGGGUAAUGCAGACAGAGCUGAGGGAUUUGUGAGAUAGGAUGGGAACAAUUGCACCCAAACAGCUGCAUUGCCUGACACACACAUGCAAGUGCAAUUGGCUCAAUGAUGUUGUGCACAGACUGCAGAAAGAAAUACCAGCAUUUUAAGACUUGCAGAGGAUGUUUUAUAAACACCUAAAAGAGCAUGCAUCAUAAAGGAAAAUAGGAAUACAAUUCUUUUGCAAGAAUACAUCUGUAUUGACAACAGUUUACAAAUUAGACACCUCAAGUAAUAUUUCUAGACGCAUUAAUCUGAAUUACUCUGGACAAAAUAGUACACUAUGACAUUUACAGUUCAUCACGCUAAUAUAUAGCUAACUUUCUUUUUAGUAGAAUUGCACAAUGUAUAACACAUUCAUAGACAAAUUGAUAGGCUUGUUUUUUCAUAUUGCAAACUAUGAACAUGAAAUGCUUUCUAAUUUUAGUUUUCUUACUGCAGGCAAAUGAAGCAAACUGCUGGGAAGGUAAUGAGAAUACAUUACUUCAUUCAUUCUCCCCUCUUAUACUGGUUCCUCCCCCUGGAAUUUAAUGGGGUGGCACCGGUGUAACUGAGUGGAGAAUUUGGACUUCACUAUUUAAAACUGGAAUGAAAUUCAGGUUUCCUCAGUACUGGUAACAAGUCUUGAUCCUUUUUUUGCUGAGUCCAGCAGCAGAAACAUUAUUAGUAUUGAAGAAAACUUAUUGAUUUUUAUUAUAGUUCUAAACACAGAGGGCAAAAUUAUUCCCUCACACCAGUGAAAUCUCAUUAUAGACUAUGGGAUUUUAUUAGAGUAACUAAGAGAAGAAUUUGGUUCAGCUAUUGUUCCCAUAUAACAUUUGAGCUAGUGCAUAAGUUCUGUGAGUUUGGGACCUUAGGGAAAAUUCACCCCUGAACUGAAGCCAUUUUAUUCCAGCUGUGCUCAAAGUGGUGGAGGAUCCACCAGUUAAUUCCCUCCUGUGCAGACCGCACACUCCUCGCAGUGUAGAGCCAACUGUGCACUGAGACUGUGAAAACCCCAGUGCAUGGGCUAUUCUAGUAGAAAGGGCAGGCCAGAGGAUGGAAAGGACAGAGCAGGCAGAAAUAGGUAUGGCUGGAGUUGAUCACUGAUUUUCAGCUGAUGGAACCAUAUAUAGGGGCUAUAACAGCAGAAGUGCAAGUUAGGGAAGUCCCAGAGUAGUUGUAGCCUGUGCUUUGUUCCACAGCAGCAGCCAAUUACUGGAGGUGUAAUCCCCCCACCUUCUCUAGCACUAGUACAAUGGGGGUCUGCUUACAUCUGUCAAUUUGUAUUCAUAUUUGACAAAUUCAAAAGCCACCUCAAGCCAUGCACAAUAACUAGAUACAACUGUUGUUCAUCUGGUUUUGUCCAAUUAGAAUGCAGUGAGAAUUAGGUCACCGGAAAGAAAAGAGUGCAAUAUUCCUACUGAUUGAGGUUAUUUCUUAAAAACAAAAACUGAAAGAUGUGAGUGACUAAUUUUUGGAGACGGACUGGUGACUCAGGUACAAAAUUUCUAAAUACUAAUGCCAAUUUUGCAUUCUUGGAAAAGUGUGAAAUAAAUAAAAAUUAAAAAUGUGUUAAUGAUUUAUCUUGAAAACAAAUACUAAAUUUUGGUCCAUAUAAAUAAUUGCUUCUUUAUGAAUUAUGGCAUAUCUUCAAUAGUUAUUUAUUCUAAAAACAUUAAUCAGUUAUACAUACAUGAACCCAGGGCAAUUAUGUAUAUUUGAAUACAAAAUAUGUCUUUUAACCUGUUUUACAAUUUAAUACUCCUAGUGAAUUUAUAAUGAAAAGAAGAAUGGGGAAGAGAAUAAAAAUGUGAUUCUUGAAGUGAGAAUGUUCCAAAAAAAUAAAAGGUUGCACUACUGAGGAAGAACGGAUUUGAUUUGCUGGGACUAUUCCAUCUUUAACUUAACUGCAAUAUAUAUGCAGUAUGUAUCUUGUUCUCCAAUGCCAUCUGUUGAAACACCUAUGCUUCCCAAAGGUACUCCAAAUCCUCUUCACCAAACGGUAGCACUGAAUCUAGGGAGGAUUUGCCAAGACCCACAAAAAAAUUCAGGAAUGAGUUCCAGAUUCAUGGGCUGGUCACCAAGAAAGCUCUCUCUCCUCUGCGUGCACACAAAUUUCAUCCUUGAGGCUGCCAGUCCCACUGUUUCAGUGGGACAUAGUGAUUGUGGGAGGUCAUGUUCAUGCAGAUGAGUCAAUCCUGCAGCUACUUGAGCUUGGCCCAGGUUCUUCUUGAAGCAGCAGAAAUAGCUGGUGUCAUUCUCACCUGGAUUGCCAUACAUAUAACUCCUGUGUUGAGGGUUCACAGCAGCCGUCCUAUACCUCAUCUAUGGAGGUCCACAGAAGAUAGACUACAAAUCUCGGUGAAUUGGAGAGCUCAUACAAUGUACAUUCAUAGAUGGAGGAAAAGAGAACCCUUUCUCUCCUUGGCAAGAUGAGGGUCCCCCAGGAGUUAAGCACAACUGAAGUGUAUAGUGCACAGUCACAGAGGAAGAGGAGGCUGUGGGAAGGCAGAAAAAAAGCUGGAGCAGCAUUUUCCAGAAAUUUAAGUCAUCUGUAUCUCUAGAUGGCUUUUCCUCUGGUUAGAUUCUCAGUUUUAUGGAUCAUUAUGUUGGCUUCUACAUACCUAUGACUCACUUACAUGAUCCCUAUUUGGAUGUAUGUGUCACCCAGGAAAGUUCAAAUCUCCCUUGAGUACAGAAUCCUUGAUUUCUGGCUCCUUGAUAACUAGCCCUGGAACUGUCUGUCUUGUUCUCUCUACCCCCAUAGUGGAGGUUUUUUCACCCUUUUGAAGUUUCUCUUUUGUUUUCUAUAUACAUUAUUGAGAGCUUCUUCCUCAAAGUAUUUUCAGAGUGCCUUUUUAUUAGCAAACCUUAUUGGUUUUAUAAAUAGAUUGCCAAUUAGUACUACACUCCUUCCAGUUCUCCCCCUUCUAUGUCCAGUAUAGACUUUAUCAUUAAUGUGAACUUUCGAGUUGUGAGAAUCACCUCAACAGUUUCAGUUCUUGCCUCAUUUCUGCCGGCCUCUCAGAGCUCAAGAUAUGCAUAUCAUUUGGAACUCAGUUUAUACUACAAUAAUAUGCACUUAAGCAGCAGACUGUAAUAGCUAUAAAGGAUUUGUUGCAGUUUAUUGCGUAAACAACACAAAUAACACCCCCAGUAUUUACUGAGUCUUAAAUAUGUAUUUAUAUGAGCACAAAUACUGCAAAGAAUGUUUCUGUGGGAAUUAUUUCUCAGGGCUGACAAACUGGAAAAUACUGAGAAAGGAAGAGAAAAUCCUUUUUAUUUUUUGAAAGAAAAAAAACUUUAAUUUUUUUUUUAAAUUCUGAAGGGUCAUUGUAGUAUUAUUAGUUGAAUCGUUCAAUUUACUCAUGGCUAGUCAAUAAUGUUUAACUGUUCCACCUAAAUUUCCAAAGAUUUACACACAAUAGAGUCUCAAUAAGCCUAUAAAAGUCAAUGGGUGUUGUGUUUCUAAAUCCCAUGCAGCUAUUUGAAAGUUUAGGGGCUAAAAUUGAAGAUUGUUGAUAUUGUUAAUGGAUGAUCAUGGUGGGAUAGAUUAGAAUGUAUAGACCCAUCAAAAAUCUCCACAGAUUUAUAAGGGAACUGAAAAGCAAUGAAAUCAAUCAGGAUUGCAAGAUAAGGAAGCAUGUGUGUUUCUAUGCAUGUACACAGGCAUACUAUAUGUGGAGGUUAUAUCCAUGUGAUAAAUUGCACAGCCAUACAAUAAAUUGCAGAACCAUGUGAAAAUUAAUUUAUUAUGCACCACUAAGUGCCUCCUAUGCCAAUUAAUGCAUCUCCCCAGGACAUAUUCUACCAUUUCAACUAGCUUUGCCCAGCCAGCAAUUCAAAACAAAACAAAAACUAAAAACCCUACUAGAGGGCUUUUUCCUUCUUCCCCCAAAUGUCGAAUUCCUCCCAAAGGAUUUUCCUGUUAAAGGACUGGAUCAGCCAGAUUUAGACAAUGUUAAUAUAGUUGCAAAAAGCCAGGCAAGAAGAGGAAGGGCUGGGAGAGGGCUGUAGAUAGAAACUCUACAGUAAGAUGGAAAGAUAUAGAUUUAUUUUAGGGAUAACAGCAUUUCCCUUUUUCUAAUAAAGUUCCUUGUUCUGUGUUAGUAAUGAUUCUGUGAUUCUCUAGCACUAUUACGUGGCACCUCUUUCUUCACUUUCCCCUUAUUGCCCACUUAGACUAGAAGUCCAUUCUCCUCAAAUGGAAUCUCAUCUUGCUCACUCUUCCCAUUGCUGUGUCUAGUCUUGUACCCAUUUGUCUUGUCUCUCUUAGGUUCUGAUCCUACAAUUGGAUCUGUAGGAGAGUACCACAGAUUAUCACUAAAGUCAGUGGGGCUCCUCCACAUAGGUACAAGUGUUUGUGCAUGUGGAUUAUAUUUGCAGGACAUGACUAAUCUUGCAAGUGACUCUGCAUGGGGGCAAGUGUCUGCUCAUGAAGAAUCAUUUGCAGGACUGGGGCUCAAGUUGGUAAGUUCUGUCUUUGGUGAAAUUUUGGGGUUGUCAAUUAAAACAAGCAGUUGCCUGAAAAUGUAGAUAUUUUACUGUAGAUGGUGAUUAUUGGUUUAUGUACUGUAAAUUAUUAAUCAAUAGAUUUUAACUAAAAAAAAUUCACUGAUGGGGAGAACAAACAUAAAUUUACAAACCAGUAAGUAAGUCAAUGAAUGGACAUAAUAAAAAGGCAAGUAUAUUGCAUUAUUACAUAGCCUUUGUUAAUUUAUUUUGACAAUCAUAGUUCAGGUUUAAUUGUAUAUUAUAACACUUCCUAUAGGAGUAAAUAUUGCAUAGUAUGUUUUUGUAAAAAUAUAGAUGCCUUAGUAAUAUUAAACAUUUUCUGUGAGGAGAAGACAGACUGUGUGAGGGUUAUGAGGUAUGUGUAUUAGUGAGGUUCUGUUGCUAUAUUGAAUUGACUUUCCUAAGGAAACCUCGGUGUUUCACAAGGAAGCGAUCUGCCCUGCUGAGGCUUUCCAACAAUUUGUACAUGUCACUCUUUCAGGUUUCAGUAUUGAUUGUGGCUUCCCAUUGCUCAUCCUACAGACACCAUCCUGGACAACAGAGGACUGAAUUUGAGCUUCAUUACAUGAGGGAAAAUCAGGAUUAAUACUAAUUAAAUCGGAGCUGUUACACCAGUGUGGAAGCAGAAUCAAGCUCAAAGUAGCUUCACUGGCUUCUGAUUGCUUGUUAUUAUUGAAUACUCCAUAUCAUUUUAAAGUGGUACAAAGAUAAUUAUUUUGUAAAUACUCCCUGCUGCCUUGAUGUGCCAAGCAGUUUGGAUGCAUCCCAGAAUCUAGCUCCCUAAGCAUUAAGAUUCUAGCCAUGCCUUUCAAUUAGCCAAUGUGAGAUGCAAUGUGAAAGAAUGACCUAAAGUGAAGGAAACAAAAAAAAUCUAUUCAUACUGGAAACUUAAAGUACUGAGCAAUUCAUAUCUGUAGUGUAAAUAACUCUCUAUAUUCUUAGUUUCAUGAUUCUUUAUUUCUGAUAUAAAUCAUUUUCAACUAUAAAAUUGAGGGCAUGAUAAAUUAGAGUGGGAUGUAGGGAAUUUUGGGGCUAAAAUGAGGGACCACCCUCCAAACAGGGGCCAUUUCAGAGGUAUACUUUUAAUGGCACAAGUUUGCACAGCCUGGUUCUUACACUAAGAUUUUCAGGAACUUGGUAACAAAGGAACAUAAGGCAGGGCAGUAACCUAACCUCAAGGCUUCAAAACGUGAACUACAAUCUGUUGAGAGUGUUGUUUUUUUCAGAUUUAAGAUGUGAUUCUUUUACUUCUGCAGAAGUAAAGGUACUUUGCUUUUAAAAGCAGCUCCAUUGAUACUUGUGAUUAAACACAUAAGGGCAAACCACAAAAUAUAUUAUUGGAUACACUAAUGUCUUAAAAGGAUGCAUCCAUCUUAAACAAAGGUAGUAAGAUCUUUCUCAAAACAUUCUUUUUGAGUUUGGUAUAUGUUCUAUUAUAUGAUUUAUGAAAUAAGGACUCCAUCAUCCUUUUUCCGCCCCUUAUUGCUAAGAGGAAAUCUUUGUAAUAGCAGUUUUCUUCUGAAAUUAAGAUUUAUUGAAGAGAUAAUCAGGAAGAUUGCACUUGCAAUGUCUACUGGAUAUAUGAUCUAAGCAAUUCAUUUUUCAUUUUAAGUGAAACAAUUCUUUCUGUUGAUAAGAAAGUAUUUUUGUUUUAAAAUACAUUGCAUGAAGACCUUAUUUUAUUAACUUUAGGAUGGGAGGAAUAAGGUGAUUACCUAGAUUUAUAAAACAUCAGCAUUAACAAGGAUUCCCUGAUUUUUCUUACUUUGCUUCUAGAACUGUAAGGCAAAAAACUUUGCUCUGUUCAGUUCUUUUUUUUUUUGUUUAUUCAUCUUUUAGUAACUUUCAUCCUCAUGAAAAAGUUUUGAGAAAAAUAUAUGCUGUAUUGUUGUGAACUUGUCUACACAAUAUUCUACCCAUUGUAUUAAAUACUAAGCCUAGAUAUGCAACAGCAGCCCUGAAAAUGUCG